CAAAAUAUAGUUUAAAUUAAAAUAUUAAUUUUGGAGAUUAAAGAUAUAUAUAUGUAUUAUAUUUUUUUGA
rnacentral:tRNA from 1 species